rnacentral:rRNA from 1 species
GGGGGGGGGGGGGGGGGGGGGGGGGGGGGGCGGGGCGGGCGGGGACGGGCCGUGGGGGGGCGGCGGGUGGCGGACGGGUGGGUGAUACGUCGGGACGUGCCCGGUCGUGGGGGGUAACGGGGCGGAAGCUUUGCUCAUACCGCAUACGAUCUACGGAUGAAAGCAGGGGGCCGCAAGGCCUUGCGCGGACGGAGCGGCCGAUGGCAGAUUAGGUAGUUGGUGGGAUAAAAGCUUACCAAGCCGACGAUCUGUAGCUGGUCUGAGAGGAUGAUCAGCCACACUGGGACUGAGACACGGCCCAGACUCCUACGGGAGGCAGCAGUGGGGAAUUUUGGACAAUGGGCGCAAGCCUGAUCCAGCCAUGCCGCGUGCAGGAUGAAGGCCUUCGGGUUGUAAACUACUUUUGUACGGAACGAAAAGCCUUCUUUUAAUACAGGAGGGUCAUGACGGUACCGUAAGAAUAAGCACCGGCUAACUACGUG